UACGAAGGGGGGCUAGCGUUGCUCGGAAUUACUGGGCGUAAAGGGCGCGUAGGCGGACAGUUUAGUCAGAGGUGAAAGCCCCGGGCUCAACCUUGGGAUGCGGGGUGGAUACUGCCGGGCUCGAGUCCGGAAGAGGCGAGUGGAAUUCCUGGUGUAGCGGUGAAAUGCGCAGGAUAUCAGGAGGAACACCAAUGGCGAAGGCAGCUCACUGGGACGGUAUGACGCUGGAGACGCGAAAGCGUGGGGAGCAAACAGG
rnacentral:rRNA from 1 species